rnacentral:tRNA from 7 species
CGCGGGGUGGAGCAGCUCGGUAGCUCGUCGGGCUCAUAACCCGAAGGUCGCAGGUUCAAAUCCUGCCCCCGCCACCA